rnacentral:rRNA from 1 species
GAUGAACGCUGGCGGCGUGCCUAAUACAUGCAAGUCGAGCGAACGGACGAGAAGCUUGCUUCUCUGAUGUUAGCGGCGGACGGGUGAGUAACACGUGGAUAACCUACCUAUAAGACUGGGAUAACUUCGGGAAACCGGAGCUAAUACCGGAUGAUAUUUUGAACCGCAUGGUUCAAAAGUGAAAGACGGUCUUGCUGUCACUUAUAGAUGGAUCCGCGCUGCAUUAGCUAGUUGGUAAGGUAACGGCUUACCAAGGCAACGAUGCAUAGCCGACCUGAGAGGGUGAUCGGCCACACUGGAACUGAGACACGGUCCAGACUCCUACGGGAGGCAGCAGUAGGGAAACUUCCGCAAUGGGCGAAAGCCUGACGGAGCAACGCCGCGUGAGUGAUGAAGGUCUUCGGAUCGUAAAACUCUGUUAUUAGGGAAGAACAUAUGUGUAAGUAACUGUGCACAUCUUGACGGUACCUAAUCAGAAAGCCACGGCUAACUACGUG